CCUACGGGAGGCAGCAGUGGAGAAUAUUGGGCAAUGGGCGCAAGCCUGACCCAGCAACGCCGCGUGAAGGAAGAAGGCUUUCGGGUUGUAAACUUCUUUUCUCAGGGACGAAGCAAGUGACGGUACCUGAGGAAUAAGCCACGGCUAACUACGUGCCAGCAGCCGCGGUAAUACGUAGGUGGCAAGCGUUAUCCGGAGUUACUGGGUGUAAAGGGAGUGUAGGCGGGACUGCAAGUCAGAUGUGAAAACGACGGGCUCAACCUGUGGCCUGCAUUUGAAACUGUAGUUCUUGAGUACUGGAGGGGCAGACGGAAUUCCUAGUGUAGCGGUGAAAUGCGUAGAUAUUAGGAGGAACACCAGUGGCGAAGGCGGUCUGCUGGACAGCAACUGACGCUGAGGCGCGAAAGCGUGGGGAGCAAACAGGAUUAGAUACCCGAGUAGUC
rnacentral:rRNA from 1 species